rnacentral:rRNA from 1 species
CCUACGGGAGGCAGCAGUAGGGAAUCUUCCGCAAUGGACGAAAGUCUGACGGAGCAACGCCGCGUGAACGAAGAAGGCCUUCGGGUCGUAAAGUUCUGUUGUUAGGGAAGAACAAGUACCAGAGUAACUGCUGGUACCUUGACGGUACCUAACCAGAAAGCCACGGCUAACUACGUGCCAGCAGCCGCGGUAAUACGUAGGUGGCAAGCGUUGUCCGGAAUUAUUGGGCGUAAAGCGCGCGCAGGUGGUUCUUUAAGUCUGAUGUGAAAGCCCACGGCUCAACCGUGGAGGGUCAUUGGAAACUGGGGAACUUGAGUGCAGAAGAGGAAAGUGGAAUUCCAAGUGUAGCGGUGAAAUGCGUAGAGAUUUGGAGGAACACCAGUGGCGAAGGCGACUUUCUGGUCUGUAACUGACACUGAGGCGCGAAAGCGUGGGGAGCAAACAGGAUUAGAUACCCUGGUAGUCCACGCCGUAAACGAUGAGUGCUAAGUGUUAGAGGGUUUCCGCCCUUUAGUGCUGCAGCUAACGCAUUAAGCACUCCGCCUGGGGAGUACGGCCGCAAGGCUGAAACUCAAAGGAAUUGACGG